rnacentral:rRNA from 1 species
AGGACGAACGCUAGCGGCGUGUCUGAAACAUGCAAGUCGAGCGGGAGUAGCAAUACUCCAGCGGCGAACGGGUGCGUAACACGUAAAGAACCUACCCUUUAGCGGGGGAUAGCCUCGGGAAACUGGGGGUAAUACCGCAUAUGCUAUAGUUAUCGCAUGAUGAUUAUAGGAAAGGCUUAGGUCACUAAAGGAGGGCUUUGCGGCCUAUCAGGUAGUUGGUGAGGUAACGGCUCACCAAGCCAUAGACGGGUAGCUGGUCUGAGAGGAUGGUCAGCCACACUGGAACUGAGACACGGUCCAGACUCCUACGGGAGGCAGCAGUUUAGAAUAUUGUGCAAUGGGCGAAAGCCUGACACAGCGACGCCGCGUGGGUGAAGAGGCUUUCGGGUCGUAAAGCCCUGUUGGUAGGGAUGAGCAAGGACAGUACCUACCGAGGAAGCCCCGGCUAACUACGUCGCCAGCAGCCGC